rnacentral:tRNA from 2 species
AGUUUUAUAGUCAAUAUAAUUUAUGAUAUUAAAUUGCAAAUUUAAAGUAGUUUUAUACUAAAACUU